rnacentral:lncRNA from 1 species
AGUGAAAAAGCAAGAAAUUAGUGCUGGUUCUUAUGUUGAAGAGGAAGUAGGAAUUUGUUUUUAUGUGAAGUACCAUAUAACCGAUCCUGUAGGGAGCCAUUUGACAUAAAGGGAUAAACCAGAAUUUGUUGGUCAUUCUCGCAGCAGUAGCCAAGAAGAGGGAUCAGGUUCUCAUGCGUAAUAGCUGAGAGAAGGGUCAGCUGUAAUACAAAUUGAUAGUACAAGGUUAGUUUGCAAGCUGUGUUAUUUGUUAUGCAUGGCUUAACUACAUAUACGUGGAUAAGAUGCACUUAUUGUAGAAGAUGGCUCCUGAAGAGUGCAAGACAAAUCAGGAGGAGGAAGUGAUAAAUCUAAAAAUCUGAUAAUUAUCAUUUAGUAGACAUGUGAGAACAUCAAGUUAAGGGCAUGGCUGCAAAAGCUUGAAAUAAUUGGUUAAAUUUUGCUUAAUAACACUGUUUCUUGUCCAGUACAUUAUUCAGAAUAUUUCAGAGGUUAGGAAUGUUUGCGGGGAGUAAUUAUGAAGAGAAUCAUGGGAUUUUGUGAGACAAAGUAUUAUUUUGAGCAUGUAGUUAGUUUGGUUUCCUAUGUGAACAGUAAUAGUAGAUAGAAGGUUGAUUGCUCCGACAUUGUGGUGAUGUUUUCUUCACAUUUUAGUCAGCAUCUAUUUUAUUGGUUUAAUGCAGAUGUCACAGUUAGGAGAAAAUUGGUCUAAAAAUGCUCUAGACUGAUACCUCAUUAUUGAAUUCUCGAGUUCCCUGAGUCGAAGUGGCUGACCGGACCUUUACAGCCACUUCUUCACCAUCAGUCAAGGUACCACGGUAAACAGAUCCAAAACCACCUUCACCUAUCAAAGUUUUGUAGUUCUGUGUAACAGCUUCUAUGUAUUCCAAAGUGAAAUUCCUGAUGGAUAUUGACUUCAAGGUAGUAUCUGUGCUUGGUACUGAAUAAACUGCAUCUGUAUUUGAAAGAAAACUUCGAGCAUGUUCUCUCAUAGUGGAAAAGUACCAGAUCUUACAGAAUAUAACUCUUUCAAAUAGCUAGAAUUCUUGUCUGUAAAGCUCGCUUGCAACAGAUGAUAUAGUUACAGUUUCUGUUUUAUGGUGAAAGUUUUAUGAUUCUAUUUUGUUGGGUCCUAUCUUAAGCUUAUUUCAAGAAAGACAAGCACUUAAAUUAUGACUUUCUAGAUUACAUAUCUCUUCACUCUAUUGUCUAUGCUUUCUCAAUGAUGUGCGAAACGACAAAUUGAUAACAUAAUUUCUCAAAUGAUGUCUCUGUGCAAAACAAAGUUGUAGGCUAAACAAUCUAUUUAAGUGGAGGCAAAGAUUUUUUUUUUUUAUGAGUAUGUUGAUGUGAACUCUAGAUUAUCCUUCAAGAGGAUCAAAACGACUCGUGCAUGGCGUCUUAUUAUUUAGUACACAAAAUAGAAAGAAGAAUGGAUUGUCAUGGUCGAAAAUAUGUGCCUAAAGAAUAGGAUAAGUUUCUUAUGGCAUUCAGAAAUAUAUAUUAUCAUGCAUUAGGCAUGCAGGAUUAUUUUUGGUGUGCUGAGAGUGUACUUACUCUUUGUCACUGAGUAACUUCUCAUACUAAAUCUUGGCCCUGCUAUUACUCGUCUUUUGUAGAGGCAAACAAUAGAGAUAACUAUUGCGAGGAUCACUAGGAGAGAUGCAC